UGUGUGUGUGUGUGUGUGUGUGUGUGUGUGUGUGUAUAUGUUUAGUUAUACUACGCCUUUUCCCGGAGAACGUUUGGCGCGCGCUGAUGAAUGAUUUAUACACAUACAUAACACACACACACACACACACACA